GGCCCCUUAGCUCAAUUGAAUAGAGUGUUUGACUACGGAUCAAAAGGUUACAGGUUUGAAUCCUGUAGGGGUCA
rnacentral:tRNA from 2 species